UUCCAGUCCAAUAGCGUAUAUUAAAGUUGUUGCAGUUAAAAAGCUCGUAGUUGAAUUUCGGGGUUAGUAGGUUGGUCAUGCCUCCGGUAUGUACCGAUCUCACUGAUUCCUCCUUCCUUAUGAACCGUAAUGCCAUUAAUUUGGUGUUGCGGGGAAUUUGGACUGUUACUUUGAAAAAAUUAGAGUGUUUAAAGCAAGCUAACGCUUGAAUACAUUAGCAUGGAAUAAUGAAAUAGGACGUUCGAUCUUAUUUUGUUGGUUUCUAGGAUUGACGUAAUGAUUAAUAGGGAUAGUUGGGGGCAUUAGUAUUCAAUUGUCAGAGGUGAAAUUCUUGGAUUUAUUGAAGACUAACUACUGCGAAAGCAUUUGCCAAGGAUGUUUUCAUUAAUCAAGAACGAAAGUUAGGGGAUCGAAGACGAUCAGAUACCGUCGUAGUCUUAACCAUAAACUAUGCCGACUAGGGAUCGG
rnacentral:rRNA from 1 species